GCGGGCUUACCCAGCAGGAAGUCCGGGCUUGCUGGCUGUGUUGAUAAAGGGCCUGUAGCUGGAGUUCCCGGUUGGGUCCUGGUCUGCUCUUUCCCCAGUCUCUUUCUGGGCUCUGCCCCGGCCCGGCACACUUGGGGCGAGGCGGCGGCGACUCUCUGCUCGCCGCCAUGCACGACGCUUUCGAGCCAGUACCGAUCCUAGAAAAGCUGCCUCUGCAGAUCGACUGUCUGGCUGCCUGGGAGGAAUGGCUUCUUGUGGGAACCAAACAAGGACAUCUUCUUCUCUACAGGAUUCGGAAGGAUGUUGGUUGCAACAGGUUUGAAGUAACACUAGAGAAAUCCAAUAAGAACUUCUCCAAAAAGAUCCAGCAGAUCCAUGUGGUUUCCCAGUUUAAGAUUCUGGUCAGCUUGUUAGAAAACAAUGUUUAUGUCCAUGACCUUUUGACAUUUCAACAAAUCACUACAGUUUCAAAGGCAAAGGGAGCAUCACUGUUCACAUGUGACCUGCAGCACACAGAGACUGGUGAGGAGGUGUUGCGGAUGUGUGUGGCAGUGAAAAAGAAGCUGCAGCUCUAUUUCUGGAAAGACAGGGAAUUUCAUGAAUUGCAGGGGGACUUUAGUGUACCAGAUGUGCCCAAAUCCAUGGCAUGGUGUGAAAAUUCUAUCUGUGUGGGUUUCAAGAGAGACUACUACCUGAUAAGGGUGGAUGGAAAGGGGUCUAUCAAAGAGCUCUUUCCAACAGGAAAACAGCUGGAGCCCUUAGUUGCACCUCUGGCAGACGGAAAAGUAGCUGUGGGUCAGGAUGAUCUCACCGUGGUGCUCAACGAGGAGGGGAUCUGCACACAGAAAUGUGCCCUAAACUGGACAGACAUACCAGUGGCCAUGGAGUACCAGCCUCCCUACAUCAUCGCAGUGUUGCCUCGAUAUGUGGAGAUCCGAACGUUUGAGCCGAGGCUCCUGGUCCAGAGCAUUGAACUGCAAAGGCCCCGUUUCAUUACCUCAGGAGGAUCAAACAUUAUCUAUGUGGCCAGCAAUCAUUUUGUUUGGAGACUCAUUCCUGUCCCCAUGGCAACCCAAAUCCAACAGCUUCUCCAGGACAAGCAGUUUGAAUUGGCUCUGCAGCUUGCAGAAAUGAAAGAUGACUCUGACAGUGAAAAGCAGCAACAAAUCCAUCACAUCAAGAACUUGUACGCCUUCAACCUCUUCUGCCAGAAGCGUUUUGAUGAGUCCAUGCAGGUCUUUGCUAAGCUUGGCACAGAUCCCACCCACGUGAUGGGCCUGUACCCCGACCUGCUGCCCACAGACUACAGGAAGCAGUUGCAGUAUCCAAACCCAUUGCCCGUGCUCUCGGGGGCUGAACUGGAGAAGGCUCAUUUAGCCCUGAUCGACUACCUGACACAGAAAAGAAGUCAACUGGUAAAGAAGCUGAAUGACUCUGACCACCAGUCUAGCACCUCCCCGUUGAUGGAAGGCACCCCCACCAUCAAAUCCAAGAAGAAGUUGCUGCAAAUCAUCGACACUACCCUGCUCAAGUGCUACCUCCAUACAAAUAUGGCCCUAGUGGCCCCCUUGCUGCGCCUGGAGAACAAUCAUUGCCACAUCGAGGAAAGUGAGCACGUGCUGAAGAAGGCUCACAAGUACAGUGAGCUAAUAAUCCUGUAUGAGAAGAAAGGGCUCCACGAGAAAGCUCUGCAGGUGCUGGUAGACCAGUCCAAGAAAGCAAACUCCCCGCUGAAAGGCCACGAGAGGACAGUGCAGUAUCUGCAGCAUCUGGGCACAGAAAACCUACAUUUGAUUUUUUCCUACUCAGUGUGGGUACUGAGAGACUUUCCAGAAGAUGGCCUGAAGAUAUUUACUGAGGAUCUCCCAGAAGUGGAAUCUCUGCCACGCGAUCGAGUGCUCAGCUUCUUAAUAGAAAACUUCAAGGGUCUGGCUGUUCCUUAUCUGGAACACAUCAUCCACGUUUGGGAGGAGACGGGCUCUCGGUUCCACAACUGCCUGAUCCAGCUGUACUGUGAGAAGGUCCAAGGCCUGAUGAAGGAGUAUCUCCUGUCAUUUCCUGCAGGCAAAACUCCAGUCCCUGCUGGAGAGGAAGAGGGUGAGCUGGGAGAAUACCGGCAGAAGCUCCUUAUGUUCUUGGAGAUUUCCAGCUACUAUGAUCCAGGCCGACUCAUCUGUGACUUCCCUUUUGAUGGCCUCUUAGAAGAACGAGCUCUCCUGUUGGGGCGCAUGGGGAAACAUGAACAAGCUCUCUUCAUCUAUGUCCACAUCUUAAAAGAUACAAGGAUGGCUGAGGAGUACUGCCACAAACACUAUGACCAAAACAAAGAUGGCAACAAAGAUACAGGUGUAUCUAUCCCUGCUUCGGAUGUACCUGUCACCUCCCAGCAUUCACUGCCUGGGGCCCAUCAAGUUGGAACUGCUGGAGCCACAGGCCAACCUCCAGGCUGCCCUGCAGGUCCUCGAGCUGCACCACAGCAAACUGGACACCACCAAGGCCCUCAACCUUCUGCCAGCAAACACUCAGAUCAAUGAUAUACGCAUCUUUCUAGAAAAGGUCUUGGAGGAAAAUGCACAAAAAAAACGGUUCAAUCAAGUGCUCAAGAACCUUCUCCAUGCGGAGUUCCUGAGGGUCCAGGAAGAGCGGAUUUUACACCAGCAGGUGAAGUGCAUCAUCACAGAGGAGAAGGUGUGCAUGGUGUGUAAGAAGAAGAUUGGAAACAGUGCAUUUGCCAGAUACCCCAAUGGAGUGGUCGUGCACUACUUCUGUUCCAAAGAGGUAAACCCAGCUGACACCUGAGUCCAGCAUCCCAAGGAUUUAGCAGAUGGACAGCUUGGCUCUCCUGGAGAGAGGAAGGAGCAGCUGGCCUUAGAAUCGUGGGCUGCCACCACCAGGUGCCUCCGCAUUUGGACGCUACCAGCUAUCUUGCAUCCUGGACCAUCUCCGAAUUAUUUAGACUUGUGGUCUGGCAUUGCCAGAUUUUUAAUAGAAAAAGAGAUUAGUAAUACCUUAUACCAUUAUGUUGUGGGCAAUUCCAGAGAAUUGAGAACCUGCUUAGACAAGAAGACGUGCACCAUCUUGCCUUUGCAUACCAGUUACCAGAAUGAGACGGUAUGUCUCGAGUGUUUGAAACCACAGAGUUGCUUAUCAGGAGUUUUUCUGUUAGACAAGCACACGACUUCACAAGGACCCCUCAGCGUGGUUGACUGGAGGGUCAUGUAAGGGGACAGCACUUGAGCUAUUCCGGCCACAUAGACAGAAGGACUCAUUUUCUGUUUAGUGCAGGAGUGUCUCCGUGGCAGCCAUGCCCUGUGUCCCCCACUAGCCUCCCUGCACACUGCAUUGGUUUCCACUCUUUUUUCUCACUGUUUAUCGUUCCCUCUCGCUGCCCCAUCUACACCUUCCCUCCCACUUCCGUUACUCCAGGAGUAGCUAGUAUGUAAACAAGGUAAAGUGAGAAGCAAGAGGAAGUCUCAGUUCCUAGGAAUCCACUGCUGGUUGGUUGCCGGGUACAUUGUAAAUAGUCCUCUUUACCCUAUAUGCCUAGACACUGAGGAGUGCCGUUCUCUGCCUGCCUACCUGCCCUCGGGCCAAGUGUGACAGCCCGUGAGGAUGGGCCACCACUGCCCUGGGUAUGCCAGCCCCUAGGCCCAGGCCCCGUAGAGGUGCCUGUUCUGCUUCACUCACCAGCGCUCGGGCGGGUUGGUUUUGUCUCUGUGAGUGGAAUGCUUUGUGCUUUGGGCACCUUUCCCUUUUUCCAGCCAGUUUGUUCACUUGCCUUACCGCUUUAUAGCGAUUACUCCACAGCUUUGUUCUGCAGGGGUUGGAGGAUUACACUGGGAUAGUGAGGAAGGUAGGUCUCCGCUACACACAGAGGCAGAGUGGAGCAGGGACUGACAACGAGUGACGCCAAGUGUGCUGCUGGGGUGUUCGGGGACAGCAGGGAGAGUGCAGGAGGGCAGACGCAGUGGCACUCGGGUUUAUAAAGUAUCUCACUGUCAAACCCUGCAGUGAACUCUGCCAGAGGUUCACAGGCUGGAGAGGUCUGCAGGCUGGGGUCGUGUGGGAUAUGGGCCUGUAUCCUGUCCUCCUGGCCUUUUCACAGGCUCCCAGUCUUGUUGCCCCAGCAUCUUCAGGGGGUGUGAGGGUGAGUAACACCCACAGUUUUAGUGGCCUGUCCCUGAUGUGCCUUGUCCCUUGUAAACUGUGGCACUGUGCUGUGUUACAAGCCAACUUACCAGUGGUAAGUAGACUGGGCUCCCCCAGGCUUCUGUCUGUGAGGCUCUGAAGAGAGUGAGUGCCAUCAGCACCAUUUGCAGACAUGGAGGACUCUGCUCGGGUAUGUGAGGCUGGGCAGCACUUGGCAAGAGUUCUGUGGAACUGUGUGUAUGUGUGUCUGCGUAGAUAGAAAGCCGCCGUCCGACUGGCCAUACGCACCCCCAGGAAGCAGUACUGCCCGUGGCCACGUCUGUGCCAGCUGGGACUGCGCUGCCCCUGGGAGCAGUAGGGGAGCUCUGGGCCCAGCCCCUACUGCACGGCAGAGACUCACCCGCCACCCAUCCUGCUUUCCUGGCCUGCUGUGCUGUGUCGUCUUUUCUCAUGAACUAUGUUUGAAGCAAUAGAAUGAGGAAAAUGUGUUUUCUUCCCUUCUGGUGUACGAACACGACCCCAUUUUCCCAGACUCCAUUCUUCCUUCCCUGGACUCUGCCCUCCACAGUGGUAUGGAGAAGGCUGAAAUGAAAGCCCUCUAAUGAAGACAGAUGAAGGUACCUUAACUAUUCCUCAGAAUAAACCUAAUGAAACAA